CGUGAUCUACCCAUGGCCAGGAUGAAGUGCCCGUAACAGGGCGCGGAGGUCCGAAGCCGUAAACGUUGAAAAGUUUUGGCAUGAGCUGUGGGGAGGAGUAAAAGUCUAAUCAAACGCAGAGAUAUCUGGUUCUCCUCGAAAUGCCUUUUGGGGCAGCCUCGGGCAACUACAUCGCGGGGGUAGAGCUACUGAUUGAAACGUGGGGGCCACCAGCCUGCCGCCUUCAACCAAACUCCGAAUACCGUGAUGACUAUCCCGGGAGUGAGUCUGCGGGGGAUAACCUCCGUGGUCAAAAGGGAAACAACCCAGAUCGCCUGCUAAGGUCCCAAAUUCAUGCUCAGUGACUAAGGAAGUCUAGUUUCCGAGACAGCGGGGAUGUUGGCUUAGAAGCAGCCACCAUUUAAAAAGUGCGUAAUAGCUUACCCGUCGAGAAACUGGGCGCCGAUAAUGAUCGGGACUAAGCAUGAAACCGAAGCAGCGGGCUUUGAGGUCCUUCGGGGCCGCGAAGCGGUAGAGGAGCGUUGAUAGGGAGAUACAGGCCAUACCGUAAGGAGUGGUAACGGCCCUAUCAAGCGAGAAUGCCGGUAUGAGUAACGAGAAAGCGGGUGUAAAUCCCGCUCGCCGAAAACCUAAGGUUUCCUGGGGAAGGUUAAUCCGCCCAGGGUUAGGCGGAUCCUAAGACGAGGCUGAAAGGCGUAGUCGAUGGACAGCAGGUUAAUAUUCCUGCCCCGUGUCACGCGGUUGAUUCGUGUGUGCGUUUUUUCAAGCUGCAGCCCACCAUUAGACGUGAGGGUUCCCGCAAGGGCGAGGCCGAUUGGUUGCUGAAGUGCAGGGCGAGAGAACCGAGAAAAGCACACGAGGACAAAUGGCACGUCCGUACUAAAACUGACACAGGUAGGUGAGGCGCGUAGCCUCAGGCGCUCGAGAGAACGGUCCUUAAGGAACUAGGCAAAUUUGCCCCGUAACUUCGGGAAAAGGGGUUCCUCCUCCGAAUUAGCAAUAGUCCGGAGAGGGCACAGCAAAGCGGCUCUGGCGACUGUUUAUCAAAAACACAGGUCUCUGCCAAGUCGUACAGACGACGUAUAGAGACUGACGCCUGCUCGGUGCGGGAAUGUUAAGGAAGGCGGUUAGGGGGGUAACCUCCGAAGCUGGCAACCGAAGCACCCGUAAACGGCGGCCCUAACUAUGAGGGUCCUAAGGUAGCGAAAUUCCUUGUCGGGUAAGUUCCGACGCGCAUGAAUGGCGUAACGACUGGAGCACUGUCUCAAGGACCGACUCGGUGAAAUUGAAAUUGUGGUGAAGAUGCCACAUACCCGCGGCAAGACGGAAAGACCCCGUGAACCUUUACUGUAGCCUGAUAUUGGCCACAGAUAUCACAUGCGUAGGAUAGGUGGGAGGCGGUGAUCCGGCAGUUCCGGCUGUCGGGGAGCCAACGUUGAAAUACCACCCUUGUGCUAUUUGUAUCCUAACCGCGACCCGUGAAGCCGGGCGUGGGACAGUGUUAGGUGGGCAGUUUGACUGGGGCGGUCUCCUCCCAAAGAGUAACGGAGGAGCGCAAAGGUCGGCUCAGUGCGGUUGGCAAUCGCACGUCGAGUGUAAGGGCAUAAGCCGGCUUAACUGCGAGACCGACGGGUCGAGCAGAUACGAAAGUAGGCCCUAAUGAUCCGGUGAUCCCGUGUGGAAGGGUCAUCGCUCAACGGAUAAAAGGUACUCCGGGGAUAACAGGCUGAUCUCCCCCGAGCGUCCACAGCGGCGGGGAGGUUUGGCACCUCGAUGUCGGCUCAUCGCAUCCUGGGGCUGUAGGCGG
rnacentral:rRNA from 1 species